GUGAGGAAUAUUGGUCAAUGGGCGAAAGCCUGAACCAGCCAUGUCGCGUGAAGGAUGAAGGUCCUAUGGAUUGUAAACUUCUUUUGCAGGAGGGUAAAGUGAGCUACGUGUAGUUCAUUGCAAGUACCCUGCGAAUAAGCAUCGGCUAACUCCGUGCCAGCAGCCGCGGUAAUACGGAGGAUGCGAGCGUUAUCCGGAUUUAUUGGGUUUAAAGGGUGCGUAGGCGGACUAAUUAGUCAGCGGUGAAAUUUUGCGGCUCAACCGUAAAACUGCCGUUGAAACUGUUAGGCUUGAGUGCGGUAGAGGUAGGCGGAAUGUGUGGUGUAGCGGUGAAAUGCUUAGAUAUCACACAGAACACCGAUUGCGUAGGCAGCUUACUGGAGCGCAACUGACGCUGAGGCACGAAAGCGUGGGGAUCGAACAGGAUUAGAUACCCUGGUAGUCC
rnacentral:rRNA from 1 species